rnacentral:misc_RNA from 1 species
AAAAGUCUAAAUUUUAACAGCUGUUUAUAAACAAGUUAUUAAAGAACAUAAAUUUCUUCAAAAGUUAAAUUAAAAAAAGAACAUAAUUGAGCUGAUCAUACCAGUUCUUCAGGUUCAGGUUCAUUCAGUUCGAACUUAUUCAUUUAGCACGAUAAGCGAUCUUUUUACGAAGCUUAGGAGUUCAUCUAACGCACCAAUUCACUUGUACUACUAAUUCUCAUAAUUUAUUAUGACUAUACAAACAAAGCAUGCAAAUUAAAGGUUAAGUCUCUUAACA